AAGGAAUACUCUGUUUCUGGCCUCCCAUCUUGGUGGGGGAUGUGCAGGCUGAGAACACAGGAGCUGACUUCUAUUGUACCAGCUGAGACUACAGGGUAGACCGCAAAAAGUGCCUCCUUGCUGAUGGACUGGCAGAUGAGAGUGGAGGCUGUAAAUCACCCUCUAUGCAAUGGCUUAUCAUAAAGGAUAUGGAGCAAAAUUAGAGGAGGCACGAGAAGGAAAGCUGGUGAUGAACAAGGAAAGUGCCUGGUUGAAGCUAGCUUGCAAUCCCAAAGUCAGAAGGUUGCCUGGGAAGCCAGGAAACAAAGCCAAAUCAAGGCAAAGCAGACACAUGGAGAUUUUGAGACUGAGAAGAGGGAAACUGAGGACAUUCAUGUGAGAUGGGGUUCAAGUUUCCCUUAGAAGGAGAAGUUAUCUUCAGAAGGUCAGGUUGGUGAGGUGGGAGUUCAAAAACAACAAAGUAUGUAGCUACCAUUGAGAGGAAGACCAUGGA
rnacentral:lncRNA from 1 species